GAUGAACGCUAGCGAUAGGCUAACACAUGCAAGUCGAGGGGCAGCAUGAUCUUAGCUUGCUAAGGUCGAUGGCGACCGGCGCACGGGUGCGUAACGCGUAUGCAACUUGCCUUACAGAGGGGGAUAACCCGUUGAAAGACGGACUAAAACCGCAUACACUUGUAUUAUUGCAUGAUAUUACAAGGAAAUAUUUAUAGCUGUAAGAUAGGCAUGCGUCCCAUUAGCUGGUUGGUGAGGUAACGGCUCACCAAGGCGACGAUGGGUAGGGGAACUGAGAGGUUUAUCCCCCACACUGGUACUGAGACACGGACCAGACUCCUACGGGAGGCAGCAGUGAGGAAUAUUGGUCAAUGGGCGAGAGCCUGAACCAGCCAAGUCGCGUGAAGGAAGACAGUCCUAAGGAUUGUAAACUUCUUUUAUACGGGAAUAACGGGCGAUACGAGUAUUGCAUUGAAUGUACCGUAAGAAUAAGCAUCGGCUAACUCCGUGCCAGCAGCCGCGGUAAUACGGAGGAUGCGAGCGUUAUCCGGAUUUAUUGGGUUUAAAGGGUGCGUAGGUUGUUCGGUAAGUCAGCGGUGAAACCUGAGCGCUCAACGUUCAGCCUGCCGUUGAAACUGCCGGGCUUGAGUUCAGUGGCGGCAGGCGGUAUUCCUGGUGUAGCGGUGAAAUGCAUAGAUAUCACGAGGAACUCCGAUUGCGAAGGCAGCUUGCCAUACUGCGACUGACACUGAAGCACGAAGGCGUGGGUAUCAAACAGGAUUAGAUACCCUGGUAGUCCACGCAGUAAACGAUGAUUACUAGGAGUUUGCGAUAUACCGUCAAGCUUCCACAGCGAAAGCGUUAAGUAAUCCACCUGGGGAGUACGCCGGCAACGGUGAAACUCAAAGGAAUUGACGGGGGCCCGCACAAGCGGAGGAACAUGUGGUUUAAUUCGAUGAUACGCGAGGAACCUUACCCGGGAUUGAAAUGUAGAUGACGGAUGGUGAAAACCGUCUUCCCUUCGGGGCGUCUAUGUAGGUGC
rnacentral:rRNA from 1 species